GCAAAUGUGAACAAAUUAUUAUCAUUAUUAAAUUAGUAAAAAUGUAUAGAUUAUUUAUUUAUUUAUUAAGAUUAUUAUUAUUUUGUAUGUGUUUAUGUAUCAUUUAUUUGUCACAUUCAACAUCCACUUAGCUUACUAAUACAAGAGGGUACAUGGCACAAUUUGGUGAGUAGACUGUGUGUGUGUGCCCUUGUGUGUGCGUGCAUUUAUUAUUUUUUCAUACAUGUAAAAGGCUUGCAUUUUAGAGUGAUUGAUUAGAUGAGUGAGUAAUGUGUGUGUGAGUGUGUGUUUAACAGUUAACGUGGCAGGGAGUGGACAGAAGGGCCAAGUGUGACAGGUGGACAGACAUGAUAAGGAGAGAGUGGUGCAACCCAGCGCUCAGCAGAAGCAGACCCCAGGAGAAUAUCCAGCCAAAAGCAGCUAAUAGCUGAUACUCAUCAGAGAUAGAGCCACUGAAGAUUUUCAGUCUCUGUGGAAUAGUCAGCUCAUUCAACUGCAGCACAAAUUCUCCUCCUUAAAAAUGUUAUAUGUUAAUAAAGUUUUAUACAAUAGGACAAUUAAUGUUGGGACUGAAGGACUGUGCCAUGAUCCGAUGAAGAGUAAAUCAAGACUUUCUGCUUUACAGAUUUCACAUCAGUGUCCCAUUGCAAACUCAGCAAUGUUGUAACUCCAAGAAGAAGGCAUGGGACGAAAAGGAAAAUUCAGAGGGAACGAGAAUAAUAAAUGCAAAUUAUAAAUCCGUUUACCAAACACCGGUAAAGAUGGAGUGGUUGUCUUGCUGUUGUGCUGGUAUCAGACGUGGGCUCUUCAUCAGAUGACUAAUGGAGUUGUGCAGCUAACCAGGAGGCCCAAGGCUGUUUGUUAGCUCUUAACAAGAAUAAGCCAAGCUGUGUGCUCGCCAGAUCCAGUACGAGCACUUAGAAGAAGCAGACUACCAUUACAGAAAAGUUUUGCGCACAGCUCAUCCCUCCACUGCCUGUAUGCUUUAUUGACCUUGAUGGCAGCCCAAGUGGGACACUCUUCCCAAGAACCGUCUGGCCUCCGUAAGUAUAUCUGCGUCCUUGGCGAGAGAUGUGAUCACGGUCGCUCAGUUAGAGCUUGCAGGGCAGCCAGAUGUCUUUCUCAUGGCCUUCAAAGUAUUGUCUCUCCAGCUGUUUAUUUAUUAAUGUUGAGUUCAUACUGCGAUAACUCUCACCCUGCAAAUACUGUUUAUUAUACCAGAACCAUGAGAAGUGGCAAGUAUUUAAAGAUGAAUGUCAAAACAUUUUUACAUUUUCUGAAGAAAAUGUGAGUUAGUGCUCGUCUGCGCUGGGGAAAAGCCACUGUACAGUUUUGUCAGUACUUGCUUACUUAUUAUAUAUAUGAUCUUUAAAUAAUAUCAGCCUUAAAAAGCUAAAUACUUAAAGUUUACCUGAAGUAUACAGUUCCACUUUAGCACAAAUAUACUAAGUAUAUCUUGAAUUGGACUUCAGCACUACUUUCGCACAAUUAAAGUGCAUUAAAUUAGUUGUUACAAUUAAGCAGACUUUAAGUAUACCAGUUUAGUAUACUAAAUGUACAAUUGCAAGGUAUUUUAUUAAGCACAUAAAUAUGAAAAUGUAUUUGUAGUAUAUACUUAGCAUUUCAAAUACAUUUAAGUAUGUUUAUUUUUAACUAGGGUUGUUUGGAAGUAAAAACAAUCAUUAAGAUUUUUAAAAAUAUAUAUAAUCAGAGUAUUGAUGUUAUGCAUCAGGGGCUUAAUACAUUAAAGAAUAUCAAUCUAUGCUUUAAGGUCAUCGUCACAGUCUCUGAACAAGCUCAAGUUUCUUAAAACGUCUGGUUUCUCUCACUCUGGUUAGUUCAGAGAAGGACAGGUAAUCUAACACCAUGAAAGCCAUCUCGAUCGCUCUCUUUCCCUCCCUCUUCUCUGUUCUUCUUUUGCGUGUUCCUGUUCUGGUAAGAGAAGAUCUGUCUCUUUUUAAUGAAACUCCCCGUCACACCCAUCUCCCAUCUGGUAUGUGUGCAUAUAUGUGUGUGUGAGGUGGUGGGAGGAGAAGGCUAGUGUGUGUGUGUGUGUGUGAGAGAGUACAGAAGUAACCAGAGAGAAUAACAUGUGUAUGUAUGUGCGGUGUCAUUACAACAGGAAGCCUUUGCUCUGAUGAGAGGUCUCACUUCCUGUUUAUAGAGCAACCACUGGAGCGCAACAAUAGCUGGAAUUUUGAUGGAUCGGCAGAGAGGACGCCCAACUCACACCCUCCAGAGAAAAAGAUUUCGUUUUGCACUCUUGCUGACAACAGUCCAACACAAUCUGUGAGAAAUCAGCAGCAAUACAUUCAGUGUUCCUGAUCAGCUGUAAAGGAACAGGCAAGUCCCUCUGUAAACAGUACCUAAAGCAGUUUUACAAACUAAUACAUUCAUAAGUUCAGUUUAUAAUGUUAUUGUAUCAUAUUUGAACCCUAAAAUUACAAUUAUUUUAUUUUACUACAAUUCAUGAUUUUCAAAACAUGAUCAGUUAAUCGAAUACAAAGAGUACAAAU